rnacentral:rRNA from 1 species
GCGGCAGGCCUAACUGGCACAUGCAAGUCGGACGGUAGCACAGAGGAGCUCCUCGGGUGACGAGUGGCGGACGGGUGAGUAAUGUCUGGGGAUCUGCCCGAUAGAGGGGGAUAACCACUGGAAACGGUGGCUAAUACCGCAUAACGUCGCAAGACCAAAGAGGGGGACCUUCGGGUCUCUCACUAUCGGUGAUGAACCCAGAUGGGAUUAGCUAGUAGGCGGGGUAACCCCACCUAGGCGACGAUCCCUAGCUGGUCUGAGAGGAUGACCAGCCACACUGGAACUGAGACACGGUCCAGACUCCUACGGGAGGCAGCAGUGGGGAAUAUUGCACAAUGGGCGCAAGCCUGAUGCAGCCAUGCCGCGUGUAUGAAGAAGGCCUUCGGGUUGUAAAGUACUUUCAGCGGGGAGGAAGGCGGUGAGGUUAAUAACCUCGCCGAUUGACGUUACCCGCAGAAGAAGCACCGGCUAACUCCGUGCCAGCAGCCGCGGUAAUACGG